AGAGUUUGAUCAUGGCUCAGAUUGAACGCUGGCGGCAUGCUUUACACAUGCAAGUCGAACGGUAACAGGCCGCAAGGUGCUGACGAGUGGCGAACGGGUGAGUAAUGCAUCGGAACGUGCCCAGUCGUGGGGGAUAACGCAGCGAAAGCUGCGCUAAUACCGCAUACGAUCUAUGGAUGAAAGCGGGGGACCGUAAGGCCUCGCGCGAUUGGAGCGGCCGAUGUCAGAUUAGGUAGUUGGUGGGGUAAAGGCUCACCAAGCCAACGAUCUGUAGCUGGUCUGAGAGGACGACCAGCCACACUGGGACUGAGACACGGCCCAGACUCCUACGGGAGGCAGCAGUGGGGAAUUUUGGACAAUGGGCGCAAGCCUGAUCCAGCAAUGCCGCGUGCAGGAAGAAGGCCUUCGGGUUGUAAACUGCUUUUGUACGGAACGAAACGGCUCUGGUUAAUACCUGGGGCUAAUGACGGUACCGUAAGAAUAAGCACCGGCUAACUACGUGCCAGCAGCCGCGGUAAUACGUAGGGUGCAAGCGUUAAUCGGAAUUACUGGGCGUAAAGCGUGCGCAGGCGGUUUUGUAAGACAGGCGUGAAAUCCCCGGGCUCAACCUGGGAAUGGCGCUUGUGACUGCAAAGCUGGAGUGCGGCAGAGGGGGAUGGAAUUCCGCGUGUAGCAGUGAAAUGCGUAGAUAUGCGGAGGAACACCGAUGGCGAAGGCAAUCCCCUG
rnacentral:rRNA from 1 species